rnacentral:rRNA from 1 species
AGUGAACGCUGGCGGUAGGCCUAACACAUGCAAGUCGAACGGCAGCACAGUAAGAGCUUGCUCUUACGGGUGGCGAGUGGCGGACGGGUGAGGAAUACAUCGGAAUCUACUUUUUCGUGGGGGAUAACGUAGGGAAACUUACGCUAAUACCGCAUACGACCUACGGGUGAAAGCAGGGGUUCUUCGGACCUUUCGCGAUUGAAUGAGCCGAUGUCGGAUUAGCUAGUUGGCGGGGUAAAGGCCCACCAAGGCGACGAUCCGUAGCUGGUCUGAGAGGAUGAUCAGCCACACUGGAACUGAGACACGGUCCAGACUCCUACGGGAGGCAGCAGUGGGGAAUAUUCGACAAUGGGCGAAAGCCUGAUCCAGCCAUACCGCGUGGGUGAAGAAGGCCUUCGGGUUGUAAAGCCCUUUUGUUGGGAAAGAAAAGCAGCAGAUUAAUACCCCGCUGUUCUGACGGUACCCAAAGAAUAAGCACCGGCUAACUUCGUG